UAGCUCCACCCCAACUCAUCCAAU
rnacentral:misc_RNA from 1 species